rnacentral:tRNA from 8 species
GGGUCGUUAGCUCAGUUGGUAGAGCAGUUGACUUUUAAUCAAUUAGUCGCAGGUUCGAAUCCUGCACGACCCACCA